CGACGAUCCAACGAAGACUGAGCCCGUGAACGUUCGACGACUGUGACGCGCAUGGAGCGCCGCCCAGUGGUGGGGGGACAAGAAGGAGUGGGUACACUCUCGUAGCGACCGCUUCGAGCGCCCCGAGACCAAUGAUGGCGACGCACAUAAUCCCGUGGAUUUCGAGCCAAGCUUCAAUAUCGUCCUCGUCUCCCUACGCCAGUGCCUAAGCCUAUCCAGUGCUGAAACGUUUACCCGGAGGGACUGUAUAGCGGAGAAGGACAGAGAAUACGCACUGACGGACAAAGAGGGAGACAGGGCGAGAGGAUGAGGGAGAAAGAGAAGGCCAACAGUUGAAGGGAUACGAAGGUACUCCCUUGUGCAGUGGGGUUUCGCGAACCGCUCCCUGAAUCCAGGCGGACGUCGAAUUAACCCCAGAAAAAUGUGAACGUGCCCGUACACUCUAUCGAUGUGCGAGAAGCACAUCGCGAAGUCACGAUUCGUGCAAUGGUUCUAUCUCAUAAAAUUGCCUCGACGAUUUUUCGACGCGUUCGUGCGCAAACCGUAUAUACAAACAUUACAAAACAACCGUAUAUACCACGUGAAUUUUUUUCUUUUUUUUUUUUUUUUCUUUUUCAGAUAAACAGGAAAGAAAGAUAGAAACAGGCUCUCGUAUAUUACGCGCGAAUAUUUUGCAAAUUGCGUAAAUCAUGUGUGUAUAUAAGACCAGGCGACGCGGCAACGGUGUCGUAUUUUAUCAUUGGAAAACGGUGUUGUUGGCAAGAGCGAUUUUCGUAAUGGUCGACAGGUUUUACCGAGAAAUCGAUAGCAGAGAGGAGAUUCAUUAAAGAUACGCGCGUACGGAGGCUUUCACGCAGCAUGAAGGAUCGGUCCCUAUAGCCUUCUCUCUGCUUGGAUCUGAUAUUAGACGCACACACUGGGGUCUCUCUUGUAUCCCUCCUUGUACCAGCUGUUCCGAUGUUGAGUCAGCCUGACGACUAGUACCACGUUGCGCCAUACGUAAUGACUUCCCGAAAUUCAACGAAACCAUCUUCUCGUUAAGCAGUUCUUUUUUCAUAACGAUUCGGAAUACGCGCUUGAGAAUUGAUCAAAAAAAAAAGAAGAAAAAUCCUACUUUCAAAACGUACUUUCUUAACGACCGCCUCCUAGCGAAAGACCAAUUUUUGUUCUUGCUGAGAAGCGAGUUCUCGCGUAAAAAAAGGUAAUCGCAUGCGAGUGGAUCGAGAUGCGAGCGCAAAAAGAUGCGAGCAAAUGUCCAUUUCCUUUUCCAAUUUGCGCAGGGAAAAAAUUAUUAUUCCCUCUCUGUGGAAACACGACACGCGGCGAAAUGUCGGUUUGCUCCAAUCUUAAGGAAGUAACGAUGUAAUAAUAAUACGUCACAAAGUCGCGGCGAGAAUUUCUCUCCCUUUCUCUGGUCAAAACGGAAGAGGUAGGGGAGGGGAGAGGCAGCCGACACUGUUACCGACCCGACGAAAGGGAGAAGAGAGUGGUGUGGCCGGCAGGAUUUUUCACGGAAUAAAAGUUCGCCACGCGGAUUCCACGCGCUGGACGUUGCACACGCCGCUUAAAGGGACGCGAAGGAGGGAAGCACGCUCGGGGAGAGGUUCAAGGCCAAGUUGGUUGGCGAGAAGGGCUCUUUUUCGGUGGUACACCAGGUAAAAGGAAGUCGUACGCCCGGAGAACCAAACGGAAUGACAAAUGUCCCGACCGGUGGACGGUGAAGGGAAAGGUGAAAGGAUCGUGGAGGACAGGGAGAGGAGGGUCUACAUGUCUGCGUGGAACAGAAAUUCAGGUGUGCCUCUGAAACCACGAGAUUGAUAUCGAGGGAUUUUAUCUUCGUAGAAAGAUCGUAGGUAGCCGUUGUACGCGCGCAUCGGACGAACACGCAUAAACGCGCCAUCUCACCUCUUUUCCCCACCCCGUCCGAGGAAUUUCUUUCGACCAGCUCCCUCCUUUUUAUUCCACGCUUUUUCCUCUCUCCUCUUCAUUUUUCCUGCCCAUCGACGGGAGAAAAAUUGCGCGUUGUCACCUCGAUCGAACGAUUUCUCGUUUCUUCGCGAGCUUAGGGGAGGGACAUUCCGCCCGGACGGAAUAACGAACCUGGAAAAAUUUCGUGACACGGCCGAAAAACGAAGAAACCAGUCGACGACGACGACGAUGGAUGGAAUAAUAGAUCGAUGGUGAACGGAUACAUAUAUAUCGGAACACGAUAGCAGUGGUAAUCCGAGAGAAAGAAAGAAAAAAAAAAAUAGAAACGAAAAAUGUUGGCAGUUCGGUGAACAACGGUAGCCGCCGAUCAUCCUCGCCGCCGACGAUUAAAUGGCGGCGCUCGUUCAAGGGCACCGAAUGCGAGAGGAAACGAUAAAAAUCUCUCGGUGAAAUUAAAAUCGUAAUACCGCGACGAGCACGGUUGCGAGAGAUCGAAAAAAAAAAGAAAAGAAAAAAAAAGGAGAAAGAGAAGAAAAAGGGAAGACAAAAAUGAAGAAGGAAAAAAGAAAAAUAGAAAAAGUAGCCUGAGAUUUUAAUCCCUGGCCAUUGAGACGGGCGGGAUAAUUACGGCGUAAUAUCGUGCAAAAUAAUAGCAUCAAAAGCGCGGGGAUAAUUAAAUUCCCCUCGAAACUCGAGUACCGCAACCGGGCGUUGUGCGCCACGACAUUCGUUCGGAAAGCUUCGAGUGCGUUUCCACACGGUGCAUCCCCUUUAAAACUUUUGUCCAGCCCACAACGCAUAUUCCUCCUCCCAUCCCUCCACCCGUCCCGCGAAUCGUGUAUAAAUUUUAUGGAAUAACCGAGCGAAUUUUCGAGGUCAAUGACGAAUCCGUGUAAAUGGCCUCCGACCUGUGUAUUAUUUACCACGAGAUAUCCGUUUCGUACCAGCGUAACGUGUGUUAUUAAGCUUUAUUCCUUGAAACGAUUCCAAUUGGAUUUUAAGCUUUUCCAUCGUACAUAAUUGCGCCUGCGUAAGCGAAAUAUUUCUCCACGAUUCCCCGAAACUCGUGGCGUACGCAUAUACAUAUAUCGUAAAUUCGACCCUAAUUCCGUGUGGAGGGGAAAAAGGUUGAGGGGAAAAAGAUCCUUAGUAGGUAGAAACCGCGCGUAGAUUCGACCAGAUAUUUAACUCGAAUACCACGAGAGGCGACAAAGACCCGACAAAGAAAGGGAAGGCUGGCCGCUCGCCUCUCGCCAGAACAUAUCACCGAACCCGAGAUCCGAAGUAGAUUUGGAUGUCGUGCUGGUAUCUACCUGCCCACGAAGCUGUUCCGUCCGAAUUCGAACGAGGUGGGAAUAGGAAACAGCUUGUCCUACAACCGGCCGAAAAUUCGAUCCCGGUCGAAUAAUGACCGAUGUUGACGGAAACUUUGACCCUUCCGUUUCCUUCGGACCAUGCGCCGUCGAGGGAUGAACGAGGCAAGGGAAAGUUUAUUUUAUUAUAACGGUUGAUCCCUGGAAGGGAAAGGGUUGUUACCAGAAAUCCCCGCAAUCCCAGGGGAAAGAAAGAAUCGAAGGAAUUCCGCGUGUCCGGGAACAAAGGGAACAAUGCUCUGUUUUCAGGGAAAGAAGAAGAGGAGGAAGAUGAGACGCAUCGGGAAGGGUGUUGCGAGUUUUCAAAAAUUUCCAGUAGAAAGAACUGGUUGGAUCGUUCGUCAAGCUCGACGCCGAUGCGAUGAGAGCAGCGCGGGUGGGGGAGGGGAAUGCGGCGGCGGAGGCCGGGGUCGGUGCCGCGGAAUUUUGAAGCGAGCGUAGAUUGCCGGAACGAGCGGCUCGCAAGAAGAAAAAGGCGGACGGAGGAGAAGAGGAAGAAGAGGAAGGUCAUCCGUGGAACUUCGUUGCCAACUCGAGCGACACACCGCCGCAUUGUAUGCAGAUCGCGCGCCUGUAAUUACAAAUAGGCGAGCCGAUGCCGUUCUAUCUUUCUACUCGGCGCGCGUGCAAGCCUUUGUUUCAUCAACCCUCUUCGAAAAGGGAAAAUUCGGGAAAUUUUGGGAAGAAAUAUCGGGAAUACGAUAGUAGACAAAGAUGUAUGUAGGAAAAUUCUCGCAAAAUUUGAGACGAAAUGCAUUCCAUACCUCAUCGAUACGCAAGGAUGACGUCGAAACAAGAAUUUAAAUACUUUACCAUCAAUUUUUCCUCCUACCUUUUUCCAUAUCGCUUCUCUAUAUUCGUAAAACCUUACGUAUCUAAUAUGAUAAUCGUUUCUUCUUAUUUUUUUACUUGCAGAUCACGCUUUAUAAUAUUUGCACAUUUCUCGAAAUGGAAAUCAAUCGCAAGACGAAUGGAGAUAGGUAUAACAAUUACCGGUGCUUCGAUCGGCUAAUCUCCUGAUAAUACGGGGUAAUCAAAGCCUCUUGUUAUCCUCUCAAAGGAUCAACCGCGGCGGUGUAUCGCAAGGAUUACCGGGGAUAGGAUCGAUCGUUUACGAAUUUCGAAAAGAACAUCUCGUCCCGUCCAUCGAUCGUUCGAAACUUAACGACGCGCAAACCUGUUUAAAGUAGAAUCGCUCUCCCAAAUGUGGCGUCUCCUCCAAUAUAAAAGAUUGGCCGCGAUCGUAUCCAACAACGAUAAAUUCGCGCUUCCUCUCAGCCCACCGCGAUUUCCGU